rnacentral:rRNA from 1 species
GACGAACGCUGGCGGCGUGCCUAAUACAUGCAAGUAGAACGCUGAAGAGAGGAGCUUGCUCUUCUUGGAUGAGUUGCGAACGGGUGAGUAACGCGUAGGUAACCUGCCUUGUAGCGGGGGAUAACUAUUGGAAACGAUAGCUAAUACCGCAUAACAAUGGAUGACACAUGUCAUUUAUUUGAAAGGGGCAAUUGCUCCACUACAAGAUGGACCUGCGUUGUAUUAGCUAGUAGGUGAGGUAAGUGCUCACCUAGGCGACGAUACAUAGCCGACCUUAGAGGGUAUUCGGCCACUCUUGGCAAGAGACCCGGCCCACACUACUACAGGAGGAAGCCGUAGGGAAUCUUCGGCAAUGAGGGCAACACUGACCGGGCGACGCCACGUGAGUUAAGGACGUUGUCGGAUCGAAAAGCCCUAUUGUAAGACGAGAACGGGUGUGGGAGUGGAAAGUGCACACUGUGACGGUAGCUUACCAGAAAGGGACGGCUAACUACGUG